ensembl:lncRNA
UGGCGCUAAACGGGGAGCCGCAGCAGCAGAGCCCACAGCCAUACCGAUAGGGUUGAAAUGGGAAGAUAUAAUCCCUUUUCUGAUGCGAGAACAAGCUAAUCUGCUUACUGCCUCUGCAGUGAAUUGGCAGGGCCAUCGCUCCCCGUAUGCAGAGCACGCAGAGCACGUAGGGCCCCAAGUACCUUGCGGGGCCCCCCAAAAUUAAGUAAAUCCGAACUACUAGAUGGCAUCGACAGUGUCCUUGGUCCCCUUGCCUCCUACAGCUGCCCUUUUGUUAGAUACCUCAGAGUUAUUUUGGACAAUGGUUUUAAAUUUGACAAGCAAAUAUGCUCAGUCGUCA